rnacentral:lncRNA from 1 species
CGUGUAUGCAGAAUAUUUAAAGAAAUAUUGGACUGCUUUUUGUAUCAAAAUGAGCGGUUCAAUGUUAGAUUAUGUAUUUGGGGACUUGAAACAAUCAAAAGUUUAUAGCAAGUCAUUAGUUUUGAUACUACAGUAAAACGGAAAUGUCAAUUAGCCUUUCACUGAUUGAAGAGGGAGUUGAUUUUCAGAUAAAAAUAGAUGUGGGGAAGGUGACCAGAUAAAUAAACCACAAACUGUCUCACAGUAUUUGUUUUUACUUUUUCACAGGUAUUAACGUUAAACCAGUGCAGCACCAACAGGAAGCUAAACUCAAGUCUUUACUUAACUAAGAAGAUACUACUGACACAACUGGCCACAGUGGAAGUCCUGUUACUACAAAUCCUGUGGAAGCACUGCAGACCCACGUCCAGCGGGAAUGGAAGGGAUCCAGAAUAAGUAGAUGACAGAGAAAUCCUUUCUCCCAGUUGUGAUUAAAAGUACAGAAACACGGUAUUUUUUAACAGUAAACAUCAUAAGUUGAUAAGUAACGUUCCAAGGCUGUAAGUUAUUUUUAUGGCAACAUUCAGAAGGCAGAUGUAGAGCCUGGAAAAUCCUCGGUCCUGAAGGUGAUUGUGUCAUGAAGCGCGGAUCCUCUGCCUGACUCCCACACCGUUUCCCGGGGCACGUAACGGGAAGAGGCUGAAAUG